rnacentral:lncRNA from 1 species
AGUGCCUCCACCGGCCAGGGUGUCAGGGCGGCACAGGACGCUCUUGGAUCCCCAGUGCCUUCCAGCAGCCUCAGUGGAGCAACACCCAGCCAGUCUGGGGGAUCCAGGCCACGGCUGACCCCCAGUCCAAACCAGCAGCCCCAGGGAGCUGGGCAGCCCUGCCCUUGGGCCCUGGUUUGCACUGGGCUUGCUUGAUGCUCCUGCAGACGGUACUUUGUAGGUGGAGCUGCCCGCAGCCUUUGGGUGUCCCUGUGUAAAGCCAGGCCACCUGGGGUACCUGGAACAGGCAGCAGACGGCCCUCCCUGGCCCCCGUUCUUGCUCUGUACCCCUGCAGGGACAGGUCCCUUGGCCCUAUCUUCCAUCUCACUCACUGGCUUCUCGCAGAGGCAGGCAGCUCCUGGGCAGACGCUUCUGCAGCCCCCAGGGAGGGCGUCCUAGCACUUAGGCUGCAGCUGCCUGCUGGCCGCAGGCGGAAGCUGAGUGUGAGUGGGGGCCCUGGAAUCCCUGGGGAGGAAGCCUGAAGGUGCGGUUGUGUCACGUAGGAUGUGUCAUCUUGGUGUUGGAGGCGUCCCUCAGCACUGUCCACUUCUGCCGCCCCCGCUUCUUAGCUGUGGGCCACAGUGGGGGGCAUCCUGGGGGCGUCCCCCAGCCCAGUGGCGGGCGGGCGGGUUCUGGCUCUGUCUUUUUCUGAUGGGACAAUAAAGCCUCCCACUUGUUC